rnacentral:misc_RNA from 1 species
AAUGGAGCUGUUGGUGGCUUUGUUACUGGGGCUUCCAUUUUAGGCUUCAAAGGAAGGAGCAUCUCAACAGCUAUUUCUGCUGGAACAGCACUGGCAGUUACUUCUGCAGCAAUUGAUGCUGGAGGUCAAACCACAAGAAUAGACACUGGCAAGGAGUACUACCCGUACACCACCAAGAAGAGAUCCACAGUAGAGAGUUAAUUUCUUGGCACUAAUGGGGAAGAAAUUUUCAUGGUUUCCUGAAUGACCUGUAUGUUUUUGGAGACGUAAUUGUAUUCUCGGAUCUCAUAUCUGCAGCUCACUUAGUGCCUGAAUGGGUGAUCAAACUAAAUUCAGUUGUCAUUCUGUUCAAAAGAUCUGUUGGAUGUUUAUUUUGCAGCUUGAGACGGCUAUUUUUUUCUGUGAAACUAAAUUAAAGAGGCCAAGAAAAAUAAUUGAUAUCGUACCUUUGAAAGUGGGAGAAGGAUUAUGUGGAGAGUUUUCUUUACCUUGUGCAAACCAAAGUUGUUAAAAACUUGGGUUUGAUUAUCAAACUUCGUUAUGAAGAAUUUCUACAUUAUUUGAUUGCAGUUGGCACCAAGCAUACAAGUUUCUUCAAAUAUCUUCUGUUCUGCGCAACC